UGGGGAAUAUUGCACAAUGGGCGAAAGCCUGAUGCAGCAACGCCGCGUGAGGGACGACGGCCUUCGGGUUGUAAACCUCUUUUAGCAAGGAAGAAGCGAAAGUGACGGUACUUGCAGAAAAAGCGCCGGCUAACUACGUGCCAGCAGCCGCGGUAAUACGUAGGGCGCAAGCGUUAUCCGGAAUUAUUGGGCGUAAAGAGCUCGUAGGCGGUUUGUCGCGUCUGCUGUGAAAACCCGAGGCUCAACCUCGGGCCUGCAGUGGGUACGGGCAGACUAGAGUGCGGUAGGGGAGAUUGGAACUCCUGGUGUAGCGGUGGAAUGCGCAGAUAUCAGGAAGAACACCGAUGGCGAAGGCAGAUCUCUGGGCCGUAACUGACGCUGAGGAGCGAAAGGGUGGGGAGCAAACAGGCUUAGAUACCCUGGUAGUCCACCCGUAACGUUGGAACUAGUUGUGGGUCCAUUCCACGGAUUCCGUGACGCAGCUAACGCAUUAAGUUCCCCGCCUGGGGAGUACGGCCGCAAGGCUAAACUC
rnacentral:rRNA from 1 species